rnacentral:snoRNA from 1 species
CGCCUGGAGGAUGAUGAUCUCACGCCCUACAUCCCGAAUGGUCUCGAUGAAGACUUUGAUGUUGUGGUGACUGUGGUGGCCGCUAGAGUCGAACCCAUAACUCCUGGUGAGCUCUACACUUAGAUGAUUAGUCUUGAGC